rnacentral:misc_RNA from 1 species
CUGGGUAGCCUCCUUCCUUUUCUGGCAUUUAAUUAGUCGAUCAGCGUUGAAUGGGUCUAUCUUGUUUAAUCCCAUGCACCCUUGAAGUAUAAAUUGAUGUGCAAUGCCAGUGCAUAUAUUGUUGAGGCCAAUUUUUGAAGUUAAUGCAUGCAAUGUAUCAACGCUUUACUUCAAAUGAUCCUUUUCCCCCCAUCGAUCCC